UAGGGAAUCUUCCACAAUGGACGCAAGUCUGAUGGAGCAACGCCGCGUGAGUGAAGAAGGUUUUCGGAUCGUAAAGCUCUGUUGUUGGUGAAGAAGGAUAGAGGCAGUAACUGGUCUUUAUUUGACGGUAAUCAACCAGAAAGUCACGGCUAACUACGUGCCAGCAGCCGCGGUAAUACGUAGGUGGCAAGCGUUGUCCGGAUUUAUUGGGCGUAAAGCGAGCGCAGGCGGAAUGAUAAGUCUGAUGUGAAAGCCCACGGCUCAACCGUGGAACUGCAUCGGAAACUGUCAUUCUUGAGUGCAGAAGAGGAGAGUGGAAUUCCAUGUGUAGCGGUGGAAUGCGUAGAUAUAUGGAAGAACACCAGUGGCGAAGGCGGCUCUCUGGUCUGCAACUGACGCUGAGGCUCGAAAGCAUGGGUAGCGAAGAGG
rnacentral:rRNA from 1 species